UGGGUAACCCACCCCGAUGACCGGGACAACCCGAGGAAACUCGGGCUAAUACCGGAUGAGCUCCUCCCCCUUGAGGGAGAGGAGGAAAGAUAGCUUCGGCCUUCGCAUCGGGACGGGCCCGCGGCGCAUUAGCUUGUUGGUGGGUAAUGGCCCACCAAGGCGACGACGGGUAGCCGGCCUGAGAGGGCGACCGGCCACUGGGACUGAGACACGGCCCAGACUCCUACGGGAGGCAG
rnacentral:rRNA from 1 species